UAAAGGCUUGGUCCCGACUUUACUAUCAGCUUUAACUCAACUUACACAUGCAAGUAUCCGCACCCCCGUGAGAAUGCCCUCAUUACCCCACCCCGGAACAAGGAGCCGGUAUCAGGCACAUACUACCUAUAGCCCAUAACACCUUGCUUUGCCACACCCCCAAGGGAACUCAGCAGUGAUAAAUAUUAAGCCAUAAGUGAAAACUUGACUUAGUUAAGGUUAAGAGGGCCGGUCAAUACUCGUGCCAGCCACCGCGGUUAUACGAGAGGCCCAAGUUAAUAAUUUACGGCGUAAAGUGUGGUUAGAUUUAAUAAUUAAACUAAGACCGAAUGUUUUCACAGCUGUUAUAAGCACCUGAGAAUAAGAAGUUCAACUACGAAAGUGGUCUUAUGAAUUUGAAGCCACGAAAGCUAAGACACAAACUGGGAUUAGAUACCCCACUAUGCUUAGUCCUAAACAUUGAUAUCUUUUACAUCCAUUAUCCGCCCGGGAACUACGAGCAUUAGCUUAAAACCCAAAGGACCUGGCGGUGUUAAGACCCCCCUAGAGGAGCCUGUUCUAGAACCGAUAAUCCCCGUUCAACCUCACCCUCUCUUGCUUAUCAGCCUAUAUACCGCCGUCGUCAGCCCACCCUGUGAAGGAUUAAUAGUGAGCAAAAUUGGCAUAGCCUAAACGUCAGGUCGAGGUGUAGCAUAUGGGAGGGGAAGAAAUGGGCUACAUUCUCUAACAAUAGAGCAUAGGAUAAUAUAUUGAAACAUAUAUUUUAAGGUGGAUUUAGUAGUAAGUAGGAAAUAGAGUGUCCUGCUGACCCGGCCCUAAAGCAUGCACACACCGCCCGUCACCCUCUGCAGUCAACACCCUAGCCUAAUUAAAUCUUUAAAUAUUUUAAUAAAUUUUACCAGCAAAGAGGAGGCAAGUCGUAACAUGGUAAGUGUACCGGAAGGUGUACUUGGACAAACU
rnacentral:ncRNA from 1 species